AGAGAUCCUGACACUGUACACACUAGCGGAGCGCUACACUGCCAUAGGAAGAAGAGCUGCGCUAACGCGACGAUAGCUAGCUAGUUAUUAUUACAUAUUUUUUUUAUAUCCUGCUUCAAAUCAGACACUGAUCAUUCUGGAGCAGAAACCUCGAAAAUGACCAAGUUGCAGCUCUUGCACCGUGCUCUAAACGAGCGGCUGAUGGCGGCGGUGGAGCAGAUCAUGGAGAUGGUGGGCGGCACGGUGCUGGAGUAUGAAGAGGAGACGGUGAGAGCGCGCAAAGAGAACGAGAUCCUCAGACGGAGGCUCCGGUGGAUGGAGGGAGAAAAUCCGACCGACUGGCCAGAUCCCGCUGCUUUCCCUGUCCCAGGUGAGGCCAGCCUGACAGACACACUAGCACUAGAGUCCCUAAUUAUCAAAACGGAGCCCAUUGACUCCUCAGAUUUCCAGUUAUAUGGACCUGAUGCAAGUCUCACAGCAUCGGUAUGCACUGGCAAUAUGGAAAUGGUUUAUCCUGGUACCAGUGCUCCUGUUGAUGCUGGCAUUCCUGACGGUAUGGUAUGGGACUCGGCACAAAGCUAUAUGGCUCCUCUAGACUUUGACCCCACUCUGUCCACCAUGGCAAGGAACAGGAGUCAGAGGAGGUCCUUUGCCUGCCCAGACUGUGGGAAAGUCUUCGGGAGGGAGCAGAGACUGAUGUUCCACAUGCGUGUCCACUCUGACGAGAGGCCCUAUACAUACCGCAGGCGUAAAACAUGCUUUUAUGGGGACAAGAAACGGAAGAAGAAAUUACGAGGCCUUUCCAAGACAUCAAGAGAGUUCAUAGAGGACCUGUCUGACUCUUCAGAGCAGACAGAGCACAGUACUGGAUCAGCUAACGUCGGUAUCUCAACAAGUGCUGGCCCCACAGCUCCAGAAGUAGAGCCAAGCGAGGCAUCAGAUGAAGCCAGUGAACACACCAGCAGCAGCAAGCUCUCUGAGACCAGUGCAGCCAGACCUGUAGGCCUUAAAGCUAAGCAAGGAAGAGAAAAGGCCAAGACAGCUCAGUGCCUGCAGUGUAACAGAGCCUUCACUAAUUUAUCACGGCUGGCAGUUCACAUGAAGACCCACAGAAAGCCACUUCCCAGCCAAGAUGAACAGAAUAUACAGGGUGACUCUGACAGAACAGACAGUGGAUCACAACAUCUUGCAAAGACAAUAAGGAACAACGACACUGAGGUGGAGAAGGCAAAAGCAAUAGGUCAGAGGCUGUUUCAGUGCCCCGAGUGCAAGAAGAUCUUUGCUCGCUCCUGUUGGCUCACCUUCCACUUGAAGUCACAUGAACGAGAACGUAAGCGGCAGAAAAAGAAGCAGCUUCAAAAUAACAGCCUGAAGGACGUCCCCCAGGUCUCAGAAGAGCCGAAGAAAGAGGUAGCUACUGAAAGCAGCAAAGUUCAAGUACUAAAGAAAAUCUUUGCUUGCCCGUACUGCGAUAAGGUUUUUGCUCGUGAAGGGUGGCUUGGACCACAUAUUCGGAGUCAUACUGCUAAAAAACAAAAGAGUGACAUUAUUUCCGACGCCAUCUUGCCUAAUUCUACUAAGAGAAGGACUCGGCGUGUCGAUACCCAGCCAUCAAUAGAAACUGGCAACGAGCAAAAGAAAAUCUCUGAACAGUCAUUAGGAGAAACUGAAAAUUCUGAAAUAGUCGACGAACAACCAAAAAAUGAGACUUCUGUGUCUCAAAACAUCACCAUGGAGUCAAUAACAAACCCAGAAACCCAAGUAAUAAUCAGUAAUAGCUCUGAAGAUAUCAGUAUUGAACCUGAAAGUAUCAGUAAUGAAACUGAAACAGUCUCAAACAAAAUCACAGAGGAAUCGACUCCAGUCCCUGAGGAAUCUUCCGAACAAAAAGGAGGAGUCAAAAAAUCAAAAAAGAGAUUCCCAUGUCGAGAGUGCGGCAAAGUUUAUUUGCUGGCCGGUUGGUUGAGGACCCACAAGAAGAUGCAUAAAAAAGAGAGAAUUCUGGAGGAGCACAGGAGACAGCUAAUGAUGUUGAAAGAGAUUGGACCAAAUGACAACGAAGAUGGAGGACAGAGCCUGGUGGAGACAAAUGUCGUCGAAAAGAAGCAAAGGAAGAAAAAGAAGACUUUGGGUCUACAGGAAAGUCUUGAUGACAAAAAGAAGAAAAAGAGCCAGCUUACAAAUGCAGUGCUGCUGAAGACUAUGGAUAACUCUUCUGAUGUUCAGACAGCCGCAGACAAAAGCAAAAAACCUGGUGGUGCAACUCGUGGCCAGUGCGUCUGCAAAGACUGCGGCAAAGUGUACGCUAGAAAAAACUGGCUGAGCUUGCACAUGCUUGGCCACAGAAAAGCACUAAUGGCCUUGCCUCAAAAAGCAAAUGACGAGGCACCAAACAAUGAUGGGCAGACGACACAAGAGGGUUCAUCCACUGAGAAUUCGAAAGGUCAAAAAGGAAAAGACGGUGGUAAAGCAUCAUUUCCGUGUCCCUUUUGCGAUAAAGUCUUUCCACGAGCAAUGCGGCUGAUGGUGCACAUGCAGAUCCACUCGGGCGAGAAACCGUACUCCUAUAGACAACGUAAAGAACAGUUUUACACUGACCCAACAAGACCCAGAGUGCCAGAUACAGCCAAACAGGAGCCUGCAGUAGAAGGCAAUGAUGAAAAGGGGAAGGAUGGAGAAAACGAAGUGACUAGGAGUCAGACUUCUGCAGUGUCGCAAGACCAUGCAAGCGCUACAGAGCCUAUGGAAACCGUUCAACCUCAAUCAGUUUGCACUGGUAGAAAAUUCAGCCUCCUUCCUCUGCAGUCAUCUGGUGCUGCUACCAUCCACAGCACAGCUCUUACAAGAACUGACUCAAAAUCAGACAGUAAUUUCAGUUUGCAGCCUAGAAUUGUUCUAGAUCCAGUUAUAGCGGAAUCCAGCCACUCUACAUCAUCUGAAGGGGGUGAAUUUAAACCAGUAAUUGUGGAAACUAGUGACAUUCAGUUGCACCAAAUGCCUGACUUAGAAACGAAUUAUGCUGCUACAGGUGGGCAGGUGAAGAGUCACCUUCCUCAAACUCCACUUGAAAAUUCAAACACUUAUGUCAUCCAAAACCCAUUGGCUGAGACGGAUCAUCCAGAUAUUGUUUGUGUUAAAGUAGGUUCAGUUCAUAAAUAUCAUGAAAAUACCUCCAGCUCUGAAAAGCUGCUUGUCAGUAUAGGGGACCAGCAGACCUCCGAGUCCCCAGAACUCAGAAAGUCUGAAAUUUGCAAAAGGAAGGGUCAGGUAGAAAGCCGAGACUGCUCUUUGUUUGAUGUGAAGCAGCACAAGGUGCGAGGUGAUCCAGAACUUGUGGAAAUGGAUAUACAAUCACAGCAGUCAGGAAGCCAAAUUCAUACCCAUGAGAAGUCAAGGUUUCUUGAUAUUGUAACAACUAAAAAUAUUCCACCCCACUCUGAAUAUCUAAAACGUGGUACAGAUCAAACCUGUAUUUCUGUUAGAAGGUCCACUGAUAUAGCUCUAACAACAGUUCCAGAAUUUGUCUUAACUGAAUCAAGUUCCAGUGCCAUACAUCAAGUGUCUCGUACCGAGUCAGGCUAUAUGAUCCUCUCAGAUGUUAGUGAUGAUGAUGAUGAUGAUGAUGAUGAGUGGGCAAUUGUGUCCAAUAACCCUGAUGAGAAGAAAGAAAAGAAAGCUUUGAAAAUCUCUACCCCGCUUCCUGAGGGGUUGGCUGACGCAGGAUCCGUCCCUAGCUCCUCUCAUAAAGCUAGUGACUCUGACUCAGAUGUUGCGUUUAUGUUAGAAAAGACUGGCGAACAAAAUUUCCCUGAUGGUACACUCACUAACAGAGAUGAGAUGGCAGCCACUUCUGUCCAACAAACAAACGAGCCAAGUUCCACAGGGCAGAAGAGGUGGUUUACAUGUUUGGCAUGUGGUUUAACAUUUGCUGGUGAGGCGUCCUUGACACAGCACAUGAAGGUGCACUCUGUGUCUGCGGGGACCUACCAGAAGUCAAACGCCUUCAAGUCACUCAAGAAGAGGGUCAAGAACAAUGAAACAAAGAUUAAACAACAGGUUGUCCAAGUUCAGACAUCAGAAGUAUGUAGUGCUGAUUCAACAGACAACUCUGAAAUCUCAGGAAAAAGCGACUCAACACUGAUAAAUGUCAAUACAGCUAAGUUAUCUGGAAGUUGCCCAGACAUUGGUGCAACCAGUCAAAGUUCCAGGGCGGCCUCAAAGACAGUUGACAGAAAAUCAAAGAAAGGAAAAAGAAUUCUGCGCUGUUAUUAUUGUGGGAAAGCUUGCGAAAAAAUAGAACUGCAUCUCAUGCAUGAUCACCCAAAGGAACCUAAGGUGAUAGAAGCUUUGCAUUUUAGCAACACCUUAGAAGAAAGGAAGAGAUUAUUGAGUCUUCUUUGCAGUAGCAAAAAAAAGAAACAUUAUUACACUACUAGGAACAAAAAGGAGGAAGACCUUGUUCAUUGUAUCUUUUGUCAGGGGUAUUAUCAACGAAAUCAGUUUUGGAAACAUGCUUUGAUAUGUGAGCAGAAACAACCAAAAGAGUUCAUUGUAACUGAACCUGGCAGCAGUACAGAACUUCCCAACACUAGCCUAAGAUCAUGGCCCAGCUUAGCACAGAAAACCUUUGAUCCAGAAUCUGGGAACCUCAUCAGUACUGUAAAACAGGCCACUCCAGAGUCUGUGAAUCGUUCUUUACCUAAAGCUGAACACCACACUACACAUUAUGUAUAUUCCGUUUCUCCUGUUUCAGAAACUGGCAGUACUGAGGUAAACGCUAUCCCUGAUCACGGAUCAGAGAGCUUGUCCAUUUUAUACACUGGUAACAGCUCAGCAAUGAUGACUCUUGAUUCAGAAUGUUCUGAACCACUCAUUCUAGACUCACUCCACAAUGCACUGGAGUUUCAGGAGUCUUGCCCCUGCACAGUACAGGAAACUCCCCCACUUGGAACCAAGGGCAUUUCAGAAAAAGUACACCAGUCCACUUUGGAACCUGAAAAUGGACUCGAUACCGUUCUACCAACCCAUACCCCAGUUUUAAGCAGUUCUUACCUCCUAGACACUGGGAGCACCAAUCUACAACAAAACACUGAUCAAGAUUGCCAGAGUUCCUCGAAGCACACAUUAGAUUGCAGCGGAAAACAUGUUACGCCUCAAGAAUCAGUGAGCCGUUCGCAUACUGUCAAAUCAGACUGGACUAUCAUACCAACAGCUGUAAGUGUGGACUUGGAGCAAAAUCUUGGCUCUGCUACAGAACCAGAGAGAACCGCCAUAACAAUGCCAGAACUUGCAUCGGAGACGGCUGCCAGAAAUAAUCCUCAUUCAGAAUCAAUCAAUUGUCUAGUUGCAAACUUUUUUAGCAGUGAUGCACAGAAAAAUGCUAACCCAGAAACAGGAGACAUUUCCUUUCAAGUUUUUGGAAAUGAUGAACAUAGAGCCCCUGACAUAGAAUCACAUUAUCUUCUAAUUCCAAAUCAUAUUCCUAGAGAAAAAAAACAAACCACCGGUCCAGAAAUAUACAGUGCAGCAACAAAGCAGUUUGAUUCUGAAGGUCACAUCAGAGAUGACACAGAAGAGGGUGGUAAAUGUACUGGUCAAGACAGUGAUUUGAAACCUCUUGGCUUAAAUUCCACCACAACAGUAAAGUGGAAAUGGGACAGUCCGAGCAGGGAUACAAAGAGAAGACGACAAAGUGACCACUUACAGCAGACAUCAACAGAAGAGAGAAAAACAUCACCAGUCACUUCCCAAGCUCCUGAGAUGAAGCGCUGUUUACAAAUAUCUGAUGUCUGGAACAGUUUGAAAAAGAGCAAAGGAAAAGCUAAAUUAAAACUGAAGAAAAAGCAUUACUGCUUAUAUUGUAAGAAACCUUCCCUCCGAAUGACACAGCAUCUCCUAUCAGCACAUGCUAGAGAACCAGAGGUGGCAAAGGCCCUUAGUUAUGACAAGAAGGCAAAGGAAAGGAAACAGUUGCUGGAUCUUCUGCAGAGCAAAGGAAACCUCUUACACAAAGAUAUGGGUAGGAGUAUACCUUUAAGUGAAGCUCUACUACCAACUAAUCAAGCAAGUUCUCCUAAUUCAAAUAGGUCCUGUACUUCCAAACAGGAAACUCCUAAUCCUGAAUCUGUUAGCACCCCUGUAUCAGACACUCGUCACUGUACAACACAGCUUUACGCUGACCCAGAAUCUACAGGUUCUCCCUGUCAAGACUUGGGGUUAGUUGGUGAACAACUACUUGCUGAUCUUGAAUCGCAAAGUGAUCUCGCUCCAGACAUCAGCAUGGUCAGACACGACCAUGUGCACAACAAUCCAACCUGCAGCUCUCCAGCCUACGAUCAGACUGAAACAAGCAAGAGUGAGCACAAGAAAACUGACGCUGAGCAAAGCAGCCAGAACGGACACACGCUAGAGAAUAGGAGGAGAAGUUCUCGUAUUCAAGCUCGGCCAAUGAGGGUGAAGGACAACUCUUCAGAUAAAGUGGCGAGAAGGGCACGGAGCUCAAAACUGCACGUUUGUCAGCACUGCAGCGCUACCUUCUGCAGUUCCUACAACCUUCGCAGACAUGAAUACACUCACACGGAUGAAAGGCCUUACUGGUGCAGCCAGUGUAAUAUAGGCUUCAUUCAGAAAUAUCGCUAUCGUAACCACAGAAUAACCCACCACGGAGAGAGACAGUCAUGCAAGUACAAGAAUCCAUCAAAAAGGUGCAAAAUACGAUCUCACAGUGGAGAGAAGCCAGUGGAGAAUGAGCUUCAUCAACAGCAGUUAGACGAUAGCACUGCAGCUACAUCUGAGCUUUCCAGCAAUGCUGAAGAAAGACCAGACUUGACAGAUAAAGACACAGGAAGUUUGAGGAUGGUCCACGAUGAAUAAUUACCUGACUGCAGACAGAUAUCAGACAGUUUAUCUCAGAAAAGGUGCCUCAAGAAGUAUUUGCAACAUAGAAUGGAAGAAGAGGGGGUAUGAAGAAGAAAACGGGUAUGAAUGACCAUGCUGGGAGUCCUCUAAUGGUAAGAAGUCUUUGAGCAAAGCGAUAUACACGGAGAUUCCCUGAUCCACUAAAAUGUAGCAAACCCUUAGCCCAGACUGUCGAGUACCAACAGCACCUCUUCAUAUUCAGGUAAGAGGCUGCACCGUUGCCCCAUGUGAUCUAGAUGCUUCUACCACCUGGAAGACCUCUGGAAGCACCAGCAGACUCAUGAAGGCAUAAAGCAGCAUAGAUGUCGGCUAUGGCUCAGGUGGUAGAGCGGGUUGUCCACUAAUCGUAGGGUUGGCGGUUUAAUUCCCGGCCCGCAUGACUUCACAUGCCGAAGUGUCCUUGGGCAAGACACUGAACCCCAAGUUCAGUGUGGCAAAUGGCAGGUUAGCGCCUUGCAUGGCAGCUCUGCUACCAUUGGUUUGUGAGUGUGUGAAUGGGUGAAUGAGACACAGUGUAAAACGCUUUGGAUAAAAGCGCUAUAUAAGUGCGCCAUUUACCAUUUAGAUGUCCGUAGAUGAGUUCUAGCGAUGUGCUUAAUUAUGGCUUUCCUUUACAGGCCUCAACCCCUUUUCAGUGCAAAGUGGGUUUUCAGCCCCCAUUAUAUCUGUGAAAUCCAACACAGUGCCUCUAGAAAUGGCAAAAUGGCAGUAUAUGGGAGGUAGAUGCCAACAGCAGGAAGACAGUGCUGACCCAGAGGUUGGCUCUGGUUAUCACCCAGGACCUCAGCCUGUUUUAAAAUCAAGCCUAAAUCAUAGGAAAAAUUAAACCGGUCAGAAAAAGAUCUCAUUUUCCAUCUAAAGUCGAGCCCUUAAAUACAAUCUUAACAUUAAAAUUAAGAUAAACAAAAAAAGACCCUUACCUAUCAGCAAUUUCUUUUCUCCAUCGGUAUAUCGACAUGAAAUGACUGGUACCUUUAUGAACCAGUUACCACAAUAAAAAAAUGUUUUGACUGAAUAUCGCUUGUUCCCCAAAAUUAAAAUUGAACAACAACCUAUCAGUUCUGGGGGUGGUCUAUAAUACAUCAUUAUGGCUAGGCCAACCCUUAGAGCCACCCCUGAGACCUGUUUCACAAAGCCGGUGGCUACCCAGGUAAGUUUGAGUUUAGUUUGAGCAAAGUCUGUUUUUUCGGUCUCAUCAAGGUGGAUUGGUUUUUAGUGGGUUUCAAAGCCAUGGUAACUUACACUACAUGGCUAACCUGCUCCGGAGCAGGUUGUAUUGUGGGUAAGAAAACUCAAACCCUACUUGGACCAGUCAGCUGCGAGCAAAGUGAUACAGGCUAAAUCUGACACAUCAAAGUUGAUCCUUUAGGGGCUGUAGAGGUGGCUUCACCAUUUAUGGAGCUCGGAGCACAAAUAAUAAAGACACUUCAAAGGGAAAGAACUUUUAGGGUCAGACACAAUCCCCUGGCUUUUCCCGAUGACCACCUGUAUGAAAUAUAUGGAUGUUUGGCAGAGGGUACAGUUCAUCUAUGCUUGCUUGUUGUGUCGAACUCUGUUUCCCAACCGGUAUAGUUUUCCCCCAGCCCCUCCCAAACGCCAAAAAAAAAAAACACUCUUACACGAAAAACUCGCCCUUGAGAUGCUGUGCUCGUACCAAUGAGGUACUAUGAAAAGCCCUAAGGCUCAAAACUAACAUUUUUAAGGACUUUAAUCUCUAGAAUGUUGUAUUCCAGAAGUGAAAGGUAUAUUUCUCAACUGUCUAGUUAUAUUUUGAAAAUGGGGUAGCAGAACUUAUGUUUGUUGUGUUUUUUAAAAUGUUUUUAUUAACAUAAACACCUACUGUUAUUUCUUUCGAUAAAUAAUGUUAUAUUCAUGAGAGCUUUCAUUUUGAAUAUUGUAGACUUCUACAAGAAAUGUGUGUUCACUCACAUAACUGAUUUUCUGGGCUAAAUAUGUGACCAUGGAACAGUCCUUAAGACACGGACAGUUUACAGGUGGUAGGUAAUUAAGGUCACUGUUACAAUAACUUAGGACACUAAAGAGACCUUUCUACUGACUCUGAAAAACACCAGAAGAAAGAUGUCUAGUGUUCCUGCUCACCUGCGUGAACAUGCCAUAGACCUGCUGCAGGGAGGCAUGAGGACUGCAGAUGUGGCCAGAGCAAUAAACUGCAAUGUCUGUAAUGUAAGACGCCUCUACAGGGAGACAGGAAGGACAGCUGAUCGUCCUCGCAGUGGAAAAUUACAUGUAACCAUGUGUCCCCCAGACAUGAUCGAGAACUUGCAGAUGCCUUGGUGGAAGAGUGGAGUAACAUCUCACAGCAAGAACUGACUAAUCUGGUGCAGUCCAUGAGGAUGAGAUGCACUGUAGUACUUAAAGCAUCUGGAGGCCACCAGAUACUGACUGGUACUAUUAAUAUUGUAUUUUUUACAAUAAUUUACAACCCUCCCUUUGUUCAUGGACUCAUUACUCCAUAUCUGUUUGUCAAAUAUCUGUGAAACUUGUUCAGUUUAUGUCCGUUGUUGAAUGUUUUUAUGUUAAUACAAAUAUGUUAAUACACAUACGGGGUGCAACUGCACAUUUGCUGAGGGGUAUACGAGAUCAAUGUUGGUGCCCCUCAAAAAAAUUUUGCUUUAACUUAAUUUGGAAAAAUAAAUCUCACUAUGUAAAUAAAAAUGAUUUGGUAUGCCAUUAUGAAGAUAAUUCAAAAGUAACUGAUUUAGAAAUAAUGAAUAGAGUUUUUAAGAUUCAGAUUGAGAUCAUUGUCUCUUCUUCAGUGUUUGAGAAACUGGCAGGCACAGUAUGGAAUUUUUACUAAAGUGUGAAUUUGAAAUUUCAAAGCUGCCUUCAAAAUGAUCCACCUUUCAUCAGCAAGUGUUCUUAUGUUGUAAACUGGCAUAUUCACACAAUUUCAGCCCUCACAAAACUUCUGUUUGGAAUAAUUGUUUUAUUGCACACCGUAACAAAUCUUUGUUCUUUGAAAAAUGGUUUAUUCUGUGAAUGAUAUAAUAGAUCAUCAUGGAAAUGUUUUUAGCCACAUUUAUUUUUGCUUAAAACACGGAUUUGGGUCACUUUAAGGAAUUUUAUGUAGUUUCAAAUGCCAUCCCUAAGAAUCUGAUAGUAUUGCUAAAAGGCAAUUCUUUCAUAUUCUAAUGUGACACCUUCACUCCUGGCUGUAUGCAACCACCACACUGUGUGGUGUACUCGAUUACAAAAAAUCUAUGUAUCUUAAUUAAAGAACAGGUAUUAGAAACUGUCCAUCCAUCCAUCUUCUAUACCACUUAUCCUUCCUUCAGGGUCACAGGGAAACCUGGAGCCUAUCCCAGGGAGCAUCAGGCACAAGGCAGGGUACACCCUGGACAGGGUGCCAAUCCAUCGCAGGGCACACUCACAUACACAUUCACACACCCGUUCAUACACUACCAGCCUACCAUGUAUGUCUUUGGACUGGUGGAGGAAACCCCUGGAGAACAUGCAAACUCCGCACACACACAGGGCCACGGUGGGAAUCGAACACCCAACCCUGGAGGUGUGAGGCGAACAUGCUAACCAUGUGCCCGGGUAACACUGUAUUUUAAAAAAAUUUCCCACAAGUGUGUGCAGAAUAAGAAGAAAAAAUACAAAACAUACAUUUUUCUGUCAUGUAAACAGGGACUGGAGACAGAUGCAAGUGAAGUUAAAGCUUUUAAUGAAGAUCGGCAGGCAGACAAAUUCAAAUCUAUGGCAAGUUCAAGGUCAAAACAGGCGAGGGGUCAAGCGAGCAGCAAACAGGGUAGACAGGGCACAGGCAGAACAUGAAAACGAGAAACUGGGAACAAGAUCAAAGAACCUGAAACGAAACACUGGGAACACAGAUGAAGACACUUGUCGAUUUUGUCAGAGCGAUAUUGAAAAC